CAGGACUUUUCCUCUUUCCCCUCCCUCUUCUCUUCAGUCGUCUCUCUGUCUCUUCAUCUCUUUUCUCCUUCCUUCCCUUAUUUGCUUACGUGACGCUCAAUAAGACUUUCAAUGAGUCACAUCUACAGGUUUCUGUUUCUCCAGCUGCCCAUCAGCGCCUGUGCCGCUGGACCCGGGACCUACCAACUGUGGUCCCAACCAGUUAGAGUCAAGGUAGAGAGCUCAGGGCAGCAACUGGGAUAUUUUUAGCUGCAACUCACAAAGGAGAUAAGCCUUGCCUGGGGAACUUGCUCAGUAAACAGACUGGCCCCAAACCUCACCUACUAGGUUUCCUUAAGGCCUUUGGAAGCUCCUUCCUCUCAAACAUUCUAGGCUUUCUUAUUUAUCACCGGUGAAGCCGAUGAAUCCCAACAUGAGUGAAGAACAGUGAGAGAGCCCUCAAGCAACUAGAAGUAUCCCCAGAGAAUAAAUACUUCGACGAAUUUAGGAAUCCCCCAUGGAUUUUGGGUUCCAAUUUUCAUCUGGAAAAAAAGGAAAAGAAAAACAGGUGAUGAUUACCAGUAGGCAGACCCAAAAGCAGCUGAGGCCAUAGGCAGAUCGGGCUGUGGUGCUAAACUGUCCAGCAGAUCGAGAUGCCCAAGAUGAUGGGAUGGCCUGGGACGCAGGGUGUCAUCAUGACAACAGGUGGUAUCUGAUGAGCAGGAGACAGCAUGAAGCCAGUAACAACAGCAUUGACCUCUGAGGUCUGUUAGACUCCAGGGAAAUCUCUACAGCAGCAUCCAUAGAGGCAGCUUCUUCAUACAACUCCUGGUUGGGACUGCUCUUGGACAAAUGGAGAAUGACCCUGGUAAAUGCAGAAGCGAUUUGGAUUUAUCUGUAGCCCAUGCACUUUGACUUUUGAGAGAAGCUGAAUUAAACAGAAGACUUGAAGGAAUGUUUAACUCAACUAGGAAGAAAUUCAGAUGUCACGAGAAAAGUGAAGAAAAAUGCAUGGUUCCUUUUGCAUGUAUAUUGUGUCUGCGUGUUUACAUGUGUGUGGAUGCAUACACAUAUGGAUGAAUAUGCAUGCAUAGGUCAGAGAUUGAAACUGGAUGCCAUUUAAACAUUUAAUUCUUGGCCUUGAGAUAGCAAUGACGGUGGAAGGCGGAAGAGAACACGCAUGUCCAGGAUACCAAUGGACCAAGAUAAAAUGAUCGGAACUGCAAAGACAAAACAACAUCAACAAAACCCAAACAAGCAAAGAAGAAACUUUGACCAUUUUCUGGGAAAUAAGAGAAUUGUUUGGCAACAAUAUGCCAACUAUUGGCAGCAUGGAUUCCUGGAACUCCAUGUGAGGCUUAGGUAUUGUUGUGUUCAUCUUUUAACUCCUGAUAGUCAUCUUUGGAGGCCUUGUAAUCCCUUAGGAAGGAAAAGUCCAGUGUGUGUGUUUAUUGCAAUGUCCAUUAAGUGAAGAGAAAAUGGAGGCUUAUGGGUUCUUAGUGAGUGUUAGGGUCAGAACCUGAAUCCAAACUUCCAAACUCAUUGGUCCAGCAGCCUCAGCUGAAUGGGUGCAGUUCAUGUCUUCAUCACUAAACAUUCCAGAGCUGAAGUUUUAAAAUUCUUGGAGGUCUACUGCAAAUACAGGUGGCUCACCCUUAGGGCUUCUGAUACAGUCAACUGCAUAUGGUGUUAGGUAUUUGUGUUUCUGCCAAGAUCCAAGUGAUGCUCAUAUUGGUGAUCUAGGGACCACACCUUGAAAACUAAACUUGUGAUUGA
ensembl:lncRNA